UACGGAGGGGGCUAGCGUUGUUCGGAAUUACUGGGCGUAAAGCGCGCGUAGGCGGCUUUGUAAGUUAGAGGUGAAAGCCCGGGGCUCAACCCCGGAAUUGCCUUUAAGACUGCAUCGCUUGAACGUCGGAGAGGUGAGUGGAAUUCCGAGUGUAGAGGUGAAAUUCGUAGAUAUUCGGAAGAACACCAGUGGCGAAGGCGGCUCACUGGACGACUGUUGACGCUGAGGUGCGAAAGCGUGGGGAGCAAACAGG
rnacentral:rRNA from 1 species